UACGUAGGGUGCGAGCGUUGUCCGGAAUUAUUGGGCGUAAAGAGCUCGUAGGCGGUGUGUCGCGUCGGCCGUGAAAACCUGCAGCUUAACUGUGGGCUUGCGGUCGAUACGGGCAUCACUGGAGUUCGGCAGGGGAGACUGGAAUUCCUGGUGUAGCGGUGAAAUGCGCAGAUAUCAGGAGGAACACCGGUGGCGAAGGCGGGGUCUCUGGGGCCGAUACUGACGCUGAGGAGCGAAAGCGUGGGGGAGCGAACAGG
rnacentral:rRNA from 1 species